ACACGUUCAGAUAUGAAACUUCGCCAGUGAUUAAAUGUAAAAAGAGCGAAAAAUGUUAGAACUAGCGAAAGCGUUGUGGUCUUUUGUUCCCAUAUUUGACAUCUCCGAAGUACAGGACGGAAAGAUAGCUACAAUUAAAACGAGUUUGCAGUCAUCCAGUAACAGAAUUUGCGAAUUAAAUUCCAAAAUUGGUGAUGGUUAUACGUUACCUAAUCUAUAGCCACUUUUCGAGCCUUGGUGAAGAACAGAAAAUUUGGAGCUUAAUUUUUCAAAAAUGUCUUGUGCUUUAUGCAAGAAUCCUAUCUGGAAAUUAGUAUUUUAUUGCUGUGCAGUAUACACGGGUUGCAAAAGAUUCGUAAUCGUAUAGCUGGAGAAUUUUAUUCCAGAUGAAUGAAAGGAUCUUUGGAAUACGUCCAACAUUCGUUUACUCCAUAAAUACUCCUCUAUGAAGACUGUUUAGAAUGAAGAAUCUAUGAAAAAGAAGGCAAUCUUGUUCUUGCAAUCCCCUUUCCUGGACUCCUUCAAGCCAAUCGAGACAAUAACAUUAUUUUUAAUCUACAUAGAACUGCGAAAUCUGAGAGUUGAUGCUGAAUCUGGGUGAUAUAUUUUCAAUUAGAUUUGUUUACAAUACUUCCACAAUUAUAGGGUUAGUUCACCAACCUGUAGGUCAAUAAUUGAUCGAAAUAUUAAAUCUCAACAUUUAAUACAUCAAAACUUAUCUUGUGAUUUUGUUAAGCAUGGAUAGCUAAUGUGUAAGCAUUUAACGCGCCUAAUUUGUAUUUUUAAAAUUAAUGCUCAAACAAGAUUCCUUUGAUAUUUAUAGCAUACAUUCGUUAUUUAAGAAGCAUGAAGAAUUUGAAGUCUUUUUGUAAGCUAAGAGUAGAAAUUCGACAGAGUUGAGUACAAGAAUUCAGGAAAUUGUGUAGAGAUUACAUUUUAGGAUGUUGAGCUCGCAUUAUUCGAGGCAAUCACGAGUAAGGAAAGCAAAACUUCGAGUUUGGGAAGGAAGUCUAGAUAGAGAAAAAUACAUUGAAAGUUUUUGAAACAAAAAUUCAUUCAUUGGAAGUUGAAUUUCUGGUUCUGAAGGAAUAAUUGAUCACAAGAUUUCAUCGAAUUUCCAGUCUUCAGACAUCGUCGAUAGCGGUUUGCCAUUCUAGGGAUUGCACUUUGGUUUCUAAUAUUAACGUGUAGCUUUGACUUAGUGUUAGUUAAUGAAUACAAUACGUACAAAAAUUUUGUAUUAGAAAAUAGAAAAGUACGAUUUUAACAUUCAGGAAAAUAGCGAUAAAUGCCAUUGGAAGCAUUCAGAUUUGAUGUUUCCACUAUCAGCUGUACAUUAAAGAAUCUGUCAGAAUAUCAAAUUUGAAAAAUUUGAAAGCUUAAAUUAUUGCCGAUGAAGUGAAAAAUCGAAGGCUGUAGAAUCGCCCAUGAAGAGUAGUUUGGAAACGAUGAACUUCCAGGGAAAAGAAUGUUGGCGCUAUCGGAAGUAAUUUUUUAUUGCGCGCUGAAGUGAAGAUUUGAUCCUGCUGUACCAAAUAGCUCUUCAGUUAAAAUUAUUAGUAUUUAUUUGAGCGUGAAAUAAUUCGGAAAAGAUUUAAUAUUAAAAUUUUAUCCGUGUUUCAAUAUAUACAUUCUCAAUUAUAACUAAAAACGUAAUUUGUAUCUGUAUAGUGAUUUCGGUUAGAUUAGAUAAUUUUAAAUUUUUUAAUCUUCAGAUUUCUUCUACAUUCUAGUGUUAAAAGUAUGAAGCUGAGUUUCUUCAUAAAGAUGAGGCCCAAUUAUAAUCUCGUAUAUAAAAUACUGGUAUUAAAGAAUGUAGAGGUUUAUGAAUUCAAGAUUAACAGUAAUCAACCGAAAGAAUCUUCAUGUUUCAA